UUUUCAGAAACAUGUUGUUGCAGCUUUGACACAUAUUAAGUUUGAUGUUAAUUUAUUGACUUCUACCCAACAAAUUAUUAGUGCUAAUAUUGAAGCUAUUAUGGCACAUACAAAUUAUAGUAGAAAUGAUCUUCCAAUCAACCUAAAUUAUAAUGAUGUUGAUGUCAAUGACAUAUUUCCAAUCAAUACUCAGGAAGAUCUUGAAACAUUUGAAUUUAAGCUAAAGAUAAAUGAAAAUUACUUCAAAAGCAUGCUUGGAGUGCUGCUGUCCUAUUGAGCAUUAAAACAAAAAAUGGUUUCAUGAAAAUAAAAAAAUUAUUGUUGCUCACAACUGCCAAAAUCUUGGAAAAUCAGUGAGCCGUAUUAUGACAAAAAUGUUUCAUGAUUCAGUAUUAGUUCAUUUCUCAACUUAUAAUUAUAGCGUAUAGAUGCUGAUAUUUUGAAAUGGUAAAUUCGUUUGACAUUGAUAUAACAAUACAUUAUAUUUGACUACUUAUGCUAGUGGACGUAUAUUCGGUAUUCACCCUAUGUCUGGCAAUUAGACAAAUAAUUGGAACCAGGCUUAACAUAUAAUUUUUUAAAAUAAAAUAUGUAUUUUGGUAAACAAAUAAAAUGAAGUCUAAAAAGGCAUUUAAAAGCGCGCGUACUCAUUUUUUAAAAAUACGGUCAUUAAUCGCUCUAUAUAAAACACCCCCAUAUUUAAAUUGAACCAUGUUUACCACGACUAAAAAUAUUUGAAGAAGAACAAAAGAAAAUUGAUGUCCUAGUAUUAACUCUAAAGUAAUUUCAGAGAUAAGAUGGGCAAGUCAGAAACGUGCAGUGGACUUGGUGUACAUAAACUUGCCAGAAAUUGUUAACUCAUUACAGCGAAUUGCUGAUAGAGAACUUCUCAAUACAAAAUUAAAUAUUAUUUCAGAAUAACAAGAAUUGCUUUUUCAAAUGGUGAAUUUUAAAUUUAGUUUUAUGGAAAAAUAUACUUGGAAAAUCAAAUAUUUUAUCAAAUUAGUUACAAAAUUCUAAAAUUGAUAUAAUAACUGCACAUGAUAUGGUUUCAACAUGUUUUUUUAGAUAUUUCAUCUUUCAGAAAUGAGGAACAUAUUUUAAAAAUAAAAUGUAGUGCAAAUGAAUCGUGUGAACAGUUUGGAGACAAAAAUGACUUUGAGCAAGAACGUAUCAAAUUUGGAUAUAUUGAGUAUUGAGAUCAUUAUAGAACAAAAAAUUAACUUUAAUAAUGUAAUAAAUACAUUUACUUUACUACUGGAAAAGCGCAGAAAAAUUAUGUAGAGUUCUAUGCUUUUACAAUAUUUAUUUUCUUUUUCUUUUAUUUUUGUAUAUUAUGAUAAAAAUAAAACUUAAUUCA